GGGGUUGUGGCUCAGUGGAAGAGCACUUGCCUAGCAUGUGCAAGACCCUGGGUUCAAUCCUCAGCACCA
rnacentral:tRNA from 1 species